rnacentral:rRNA from 1 species
AUUGAACGCUGGCGGCAGGCUUAACACAUGCAAGUCGAGCGGGGACUUCGGUCCUAGCGGCGAACGGGUGAGGAAUGCUUGGGAAUCUGCCCAGUAGCGGGGGAUAACGUUUCGAAAGGAACGCUAAUACCGCAUACGUCCUACGGGAGAAAGUGGGGGAUCUUCGGACCUCACGCUAUCAGAUGAGACUAGGUCGGAUUAGCUAGUUGGUGAGGUAAAGGCUCACCAAGGCGACGAUCCGUAACUGGUCUGAAGGGAUGAUCAGUCACACUGGAACUGAGACACGGUCCAGACUCCUACGGGAGGCAGCAGUGGGGAACAUUGGACAAUGGGCGAAAGCCUGAUCCAGCCAUGCCGCGUGUGUGAAGAAGGUCUUCGGAUUGUAAAGCACUUUAAGUUGGGAGGAAGGGCAGUAAGUUAAUACCUUGCUGUUUUGACGUUACCAACAGAAUAAGCACCGGCUAANUUNGUGCCAGCCGCCGCCGUAAGAC